rnacentral:rRNA from 1 species
AGUGAACGCUGGCGGUAGGCCUAACACAUGCAAGUCGAACGGCAGCACAGUAAGAGCUUGCUCUUACGGGUGGCGAGUGGCGGACGGGUGAGGAAUACAUCGGAAUCUACUUUUUCGUGGGGGAUAACGUAGGGAAACUUACGCUAAUACCGCAUACGACCUACGGGUGAAAGCAGGGGAUCUUCGGACCUUGCGCGAUUGAAUGAGCCGAUGUCGGAUUAGCUAGUUGGCGGGGUAAAGGCCCACCAAGGCGACGAUCCGUAGCUGGUCUGAGAGGAUGAUCAGCCAGACUGGAACUGAGACACAGUCCAGACUCCUACGGGAGGCAGCGGUGGAGAAUAUUGGACAAUGGACGCGAGCCUGAUCCAGCCAUACCGGGUGGAUGAUGAAGGCGUUCGGGUUGGAAAGCCAUUUUGUUGGGAAAGAAGAGCAGCAGGUUAAUACCCCGCUGUUCUGACGGUACCCAAAGAAUAAGCACCGGCUAACUUCGUG